rnacentral:rRNA from 1 species
CAUCGCCACGGUAAUACGGAGGGCGCAAGCGUUAAUCGGAAUUACUGGGCGUAAAGCGCACGCAGGCGGUCUGUCAAGUCAGAUGUGAAAUCCCCGGGCUUAACCUGGGAACUGCAUCUUAUACUGGGUAACUGGAGUGCAGUAGAGGGUAGUGGAAUUUCCGGUGUAGCGGUGAAAUGCGUAGAUAUCGGAAGGAACACCAGUGGCGAAGGCGGCUACCUGGACUGAGACUGACACUGAGGCGCGAGAGCGUGGGGAGCAAACAGGAUUAGAUACCCGCGUAGUCCCUGUCUCUUAUACA